ACUCCUACGGGAGGCAGCAGUGGGGAAUAUUGGACAAUGGGCGAAAGCCUGAUCCAGCAAUGCCGCGUGAGUGAUGAAGGCCCUAGGGUUGUAAAGCUCUUUUACCCGGGUAAGAUAAUGACUGUACCGGGAGAAUAAGCCCGGCUAACUCCGUGCCAGCAGCCGCGGUAAUACGGAGGGGGCUAGCGUUGUUCGGAAUUACUGGGGCGUAAAGCGCACGUAGGCGGCUUUGUAAGUCAGAGGUGAAAGCCUGGAGCUCAACUCCAGAACUGCCUUUGAGACUGCAUCGCUUGAAUCCAGGAGAGGUCAGUGGAAUUCCGAGUGUAGAGGUGAAAUUCGUAGAUAUUCGGAAGAACACCAGUGGCGAAGGCGGCUGACUGGACUGGUAUUGACGCUGAGGUGCGAAAGCGUGGGGAGCAAACAGGAUUAGAUACCCCUGGUAGGAUAGCG
rnacentral:rRNA from 1 species